rnacentral:rRNA from 1 species
GCCAGACUCCUACGGGAGGCAGCAGUGGGGAAUAUUGGGCAAUGGGGGAAACCCUGACCCAGCGACGCCGCGUGAGGGAAGAAGGUUUUCGGAUUGUAAACCUCUGUCCUUGGUGACGAUAAUGACGGUACCUGAGGAAUAAGCCACGGCUAACUACGUGCCAGCAGCCGCGGUAAUACGUAGGUGGCAAGCGUUAUCCGGAUUUAUUGGGUGUAAAGGGAGCGUAGACGGCGAUGCAAGUCUGAAGUGAAAGGCGGGGGCCCAACCCCCGGACUGCUUUGGAAACUGUAUGGCUGGAGUGCAGGAGAGGUAAGUGGAAUUCCUAGUGUAGCGGUGAAAUGCGUAGAUAUUAGGAGGAACACCAGUGGCGAAGGCGGCUUACUGGACUGUAACUGACGUUGAGGCUCGAAAGCGUGGGGAGCAAACAGGAUUAGAUACCCCUGUA